rnacentral:rRNA from 1 species
GCUCAAAGGUUCCCUCAGAAUGGUUGGAAAUCAUUCAUAGAGUGUAAAGGCAUAAGGGAGCUUGACUGCGAGACCUACAAGUCGAGCAGGGUCGAAAGACGGACUUAGUGAUCCGGUGGUUCCGCAUGGAAGGGCCAUCGCUCAACGGAUAAAAGCUACCCCGGGGAUAACAGGCUUAUCUCCCCCAAGAGUUCACAUCGACGGGGAGGUUUGGCACCUCGAUGUCGGCUCAUCGCAUCCUGGGGCUGUAGUCGGUCCCAAGGGUUGGGCUGUUCGCCCAUUAAAGCGGUACGCGAGCUGGGUUCAGAACGUCGUGAGACAGUUCGGUCCCUAUCCGUCGUGGGCGUAGGAAAUUUGAGAGGAGCUGUCCUUAGUACGAGAGGACCGGGAUGGACAUACCUCUGGUG